rnacentral:lncRNA from 1 species
GUUUGGUUUGCCAUCACUUUUUGUGACUUUUCUGACAUCUGCAAGUGUCGGAAGUGUGACCUGAAACAUUUAAGGACACUUCUGCCUGAACCAUGGGCAGAUGUUUAGACUCCAAGAUACAGAGGAGGAGGGUCUUGGAGGUUUCUUAGUAUAAGUUCCUCCCUGUGGUACUUGCAGUUCCUACAAGGGGCUGUCAGAGAAACAAGCCGGAGCAGAAGAGCAAGACAUGGUCCUGGUGCAUGAAAGGAGCCUAAGAAAGAAGAGUGAAAGCUGCACGUGUGAAGGAAAUGAAUUUUCCUCAUUGUACACAUUCCGAGAAAAAUGAGGCUAAGACUAUUUCAAAGGAUGUUCUACCUAAUUCGAAUGGGCUUUAAGUGCCAUCUUCACAAUAGCGCCAGAGUCUGGUGUCAGCAAACUGAACAAAUAGAGCUACAGGGAGCGAAUGGGGCUGGGUGCCUCUCCAAAACAUAUGCAGAUGAACUUGAGAUUUCAGAGGACGGUUAAUCCUACACAGCAGUCAAGUGCCUUCCCAGGGGUAUGUCUCAGAUCUCAGAGCAUCCUGGCAGGCAUCCACUGUGCCAUAUGCUUUCGGGAAGUCUGGAUGCUGAAUGUGGUGGCUGUGGGGAAUUGAGCCUUAUUGCUUCAUAAGAUUCCUGGUGGUAGAACUAUUCUGAACAAGAACACGUCCGUCCCCAUAGGUGUGCUCCAAGAAUCACAGAAUAAGAAGGGACUUCGGAGAGAGCCUCACACAGUUGGGCAAUGGGAGCCCAGAGAGGCAAGGAAGGCUCCUUGCCCAAAGUCUUGUACAUCUGAAUCUGCAACUCCUGACUAUUUUUGAGUCUUAUGCUCCAGGCUAAAACUUGUGACUUUAAGUGUGAUGUUCUCGGUGAUGAUUAAUCUAGGAUGUUUCUGUUGUUUUCUUACCGUCAAAGAAUUAACAUCAAAAGGAAAGGAAGGAAGAAAUGUAGAAGUGAAGGCAAGAAGGAAGGAAGGAGGAAAGGAAGGAAGGAAAAUAUAGGCUUUGGGUAAAAAUAAGUUUCUACUCAACACUGACAAAGGUACAGGUUUUGGACAUUGGUUUCCUAAUCUGUAAAUGAGGAAUAGUCAUCACAUCGCUGUCCUGGCUGGUUUUGUGUGUCAACUUGACACAAGCUGGAGUUAUCACAGAGAAAGGAAAGAAAAUGCCUCCAUGAGAUCUAGCUGUAAAUGGAUUAGUGAUCAAGAGUGGGAGGGCCCAGUGUGGGUGGUGCCAUCCCUGGACUGGUGGUCCUGGGUUCUACAAGAAAACAAGCUGAGCAAGCCAGGGGAAGCAAGCCAGGGGAACAUCCCUCCACGGCUCUGCAUCAGCUCCUGCUUCCUGCCCUGUGUGAGUUCCAGUCCUGACUUCCUUUGGUGACGAACAGCAAUGUGAUAGUAUAAGCUGAAUAAACCCUUUCCUCCCCAAC